CUCAUCAUCAAAGCAACAUUAUAAAUCAAGACAGAGCUUAAUCCUGACAGCGUUGAAGUUCCUGGCAAAGGUACACGUCGUAUGAAACAAUACAUGUGCAAGGAUUCCAUGAGAAGUAAGCACUCUGGGAGGAAGCUCGUGCAACCACUUCCUUGUCAGUGGUCUCUUGUGAUGGUUGCAGUUGUUCUCUUCAAAUUUGAGAUGGCAAUAUGAGUGUGGGUACCUAGGAGACGAUCACGGUAAGAAAUCAGUUCUGCUGCACUUGUUCCUCUCCUCUGAGAUACCUGAUACACCUUAUUCAAGUGGUAUAAAAUUCUGCUGGCCCUGGAAAGAAUCUAUAUUCAGGCAAAAAAUGUUAGAAAUAUUUUUUUCUAGUGGUGAAAACCACUAGAUAUAAACAAAUUUGGAAUGUGUUAAAAAAGCGAAAUUUUACUAUCUUGCCCUCUGUCAUUAAAAUGUGAACCUUA
rnacentral:lncRNA from 1 species